GAGGGCAUAGCCCAGUGACAGAGCACGUGCUUAGCAUGCACAAGGCCCUGGGCUCAAUCCCCAGUGCCUCCA
rnacentral:tRNA from 1 species